UACGUAGGGGGCUAGCGUUGUUCGGAAUUACUGGGCGGAAAGGGCUCGUAGGCGGCCAACUAAGUCAGACGUGAAAUCCCUCGGCUUAACCGGGGAACUGCAUCUGAUACUGGAUGGCUUGAGAUUGGGAGAGGGAUGCGGAAUUCCAGGUGUAGCGGUGAAAUGCGUAGAUAUCUGGAGGAACACCGGUGGCGAAGGCGGCAUCCUGGACCAACACUGACGCUGAGGAGCGAAAGCCAGGGGAGCAAACGGG
rnacentral:rRNA from 1 species